GUCACACUCAACUUACAGCAAUUUAUCUGAAUUACCAUUCAGGUGAUCCAUCCACUUUUUAGUUCCGUGGUUCCUGCUCCAGAAGACAAGGACAAACUGAUACAUCAUCAAAAGAAUUUAUUUAGCCAGAGUGAAUACAUUCUUCUUUAUCCUCAUUGUCUUUAUGGAAACCUCCAAAUGAGCAGCAGUGCACAUCUAUAAAGGAUACAUGGAUGAUUCAGAGAAAAAAAAGUGACCAUGAUUUGGUAAAGUGAAGGUACAGGACAUCCUGGAAGCUGAGCAGAGGGGCAUGGAGCCGUUCCAUCCCAGACGAAGCGGCAUCCCAUGCCUAUGGGCUGAGAAGCAAAUGCUCCCAGCCAAAUGUUCCAUCACAAUCAACAAAUACAAGAGGAUCCACUGCCAGAAGCUGGAGUUGAAUUUAUCUUUCCCUUAUUCUUUACCUCAGAUCUGCAACCUCCUGUCUGGCCCCCACAGGGUCCAGCCCUCCUUCUGUGAUUUCUUCAAACUGACACCCUGGAGGCUGUUGAUGAGAGGACACCCUCUGGUGAGGAGACACUGGGUUCACAGUCCAAAGGCAGAGUACCAGUCAUACUCAAGGUGAAGAAAAAUUGCACACAGUAGGCCCGAGACUAUUAUUUUUAGAGGCCUACUUGCAAGGUUGGCCUUUGGCUGAAGUCUGGGAGCUUGUAUUUCUCAAGAGUUCCCACCAUUCCCAGAACUUACAAGAGUGGCUCACUGUACCUAAACUGUUAUACAAACAAUAUGAUUUAUGCUAAACACCUCUUUUCCUUCUAGGAGUCCGGAAUUUUGGUGCAUGCUAGGCAGAAAGUGACCAACAUCCAAUAAAAACUUUGGACACUCA
rnacentral:lncRNA from 1 species